AUGCGGCGUCUUGCCUGCGCGCUGGUGCUGCUUCUGGCUUCUCUUCUUGGAUCCACAGGUACUGAUCUGGCGCCUGCUCCUGCGGUUGGUAAUUCGCCUGUCGAUCAAGGACAGGCUUCUAGUCCUCCUGGACCUUCCUCCGCCCUAGGUCCAGUAACUCUUCCAGCAGCACCCCCUUCUUCAUCAGCAAACCCUCCCCUCCAGAAGGGAGCUGUGAGCCCUGCAGUUCCGGCUGAACCGCAGGCUGCACCGGCUCCGGUAGCCCCCCCUAAAGGUUAUAAUGCACCUCCUCCGGUUGAGUCUGCGCCACCUCCGGUCGUGUCUGCGUCUCCUCCAGCUGAGUCUGCGCCUCCUCCGGUUGUGUCUGUGUCUCCUCCAGUUGAGCCUGCUCCUCCUCCUGCUGUCACUGAGGGGGUGCCCCCGGCAGCAGCUCCUCCGCCGCAAGCUGCAGCUGGAAACCCCGCACCAAUACUUCCUGGGUCACCUGCAUUGCUACCUUCAGUUCAGGCUCCUACUCCAUCUGUGGCUGUGAAGCCUAAUCUGCCACUAGCACCUCCUGCUUCACUACCUUCAGUUCAGGCUCCGACUCCAUCUGUGGCUGUGAAGCCUAAUGUGCCACUGGCACCUCCUCCUUCAAUACCUUCAGUUCAGGCUCCUGCUCCAUCUGUGGCUUUGAAGCCUAAUGUGCCACUAGUGCCUCCUCCUUCACUAUCUACAGUUCAGGCUCCUACUCCAUCUGUGGCUGUGAAGCCUAAUGUGCCACUAGCGCCUCCGCCUUCUGUGAACAAUCAACCGGUUAGGCCAAUUGGAUCAGGUAAUGAUGUCCCUCCGUAUCCGCCACCUGAAGGCAUUUUCCGGGCAGUUCCUCCUUCCACUUCAGUAGUUCCUCCGGAACAUGUGAAACCUCCAAUUGCACCACCUAUUAUUGCACAUGCACCUCAACAACAAGCGCAAGCUCCAAAUGCCGAGCAUAACAAUGGAAACACGGUACCCCCAGCAAAUACUUCCCCUCCUGCAAGUGGUAAGAACCAUGACAUUCGACCUGCACCUCCACCAAAGGAACCUAAUACUGCACUGGUUCACAAAUCACCAACUAGAGGGUUUGUGCCUGCAGCUAGUCCUCUGCCCCACAACACAAAUAUGCCUACACUCCCGAGGAAUGCAUCAACGGUUCCACAUGCUCAACCCCCAUCGUUAGGGGUAGCUCCUAAACCAGCACCCACUAGCAGAUCUCAUCCUCCGACACCAACGAAAGGAGAACGUCCAUCAUUUCCCCCAUCUUACCCACCACCCCAUGCUCAAGGUCCUGAGGUCUCGCGAGCUCAACCUCCACAGCAGGUUGGGACUAAAAGGCAAAAUCAUCAUGCACCACCACCGAUGAUUCAAGGCCAUCCAAACCUCCAUGUGCAUCCUCCAUCUCCUCCACCAGUGUCACCAAAGGGCCCCUCUGAUGGCAGCAAAAGACCUCGUGUUUCUCCUACUCUUCCACCAAUUCCUCCUGAAACAGAACCCAAAGCACCAUCAACUCAUCCUAUUUGGACAUUGCCCCCACCACCACCUAAUUUAGAUUGCAAAUCGUUAGUGUGCCCAGAGCCUCUAACGGAUCCACCCGCGGGAGCUCCAUGUGCUUGUGUUCUACCAAUUAAAGUUGGAAUCCGUUUAAGUGUGGACCUUUAUUCAUUCUUUCCGUUAGUUUCGGAUUUUGCCGACGAAGUGGGAUCUGGGGUACACAUGGCACGGCGGCAGGUUCGUGUUAUGGGUGCAAAUGUGGCUGGCGAUCAACCUGACAAGACAGUAGUUCUUGUGCAUCUGGUACCAAUGCAUGUGAAUUUUGAUAAAGCUACUGCCUUGUCGACAUUUCAAACCUUGUGGAGCAAAAAGAUUUCUCUCAAACCGUCAGUUUUCGGGGACUAUGAGAUUCUCUAUGUUGUCUAUCCAGGGCUUCCUCCUUCUCCACCUUCAGCACCAGCUGGUGCAUUCGGCAACAGCAGAAAUGCAAGGGCAAUGAAGCCCCUGGGGGUUGAUGUAGGAAAACCCAAAAGAAAAGUGAAUGGGAGCGUAAUUGCUAUUGCUGCUCUAUCCACUGUUAUAGCAUUGAUUAUUUGCAUUGUGGCUGCAUGGUUGCUGAUACUCAAAUUCAGGGAUUCAGAUGACAUAGCUCAAGGAUAUCCACAUAGUGCAAUUCCCAAAAUUUCCAGGUCUUCCGGGACAUGUAACACACUUUUAGCUGGUCGCCGUAGUACUCAAUCAGGUCCAUCAAGUUCACUGGGGUCAAGUAUGGCAGCAUACACAGGGCAGGCAAAGACAUUCAAAUUUGCUGAGAUAGAAAAGGCUACGAAUGGCUUUGAUGAUUCGUCGAUACUUGGGGAAGGUGGCUUCGGUUGUGUGUACCAAGGGACACUUGAAGAUGGAACCACAGUUGCGGUAAAGGUUCUGAAAAGAUUUGAUGGCCAAGGUGAACGAGAGUUCUUGGCAGAGGUUGAGAUGCUGGGACGAUUGCAUCACCGAAAUUUGGUCAAGUUGUUGGGCAUAUGCGUAGAGGAGAACGCGCGGUGUCUGGUAUAUGAACUUAUUCCAAAUGGCAGCGUUGAGUCCCAUUUGCAUGGAGCCGAUCGCGAGAUAGCUCCACUUGAUUGGAAUGCACGUAUGAAGAUAGCCCUGGGGGCAGGGCGGGCACUAGCAUAUCUACAUGAAGACUCAAGCCCUUGUGUGAUUCAUCGUGAUUUCAAGUCAAGCAACAUACUGCUAGAGCAUGAUUUCACACCAAAAGUUUCAGACUUUGGACUGGCCAGGACUGCGAGGGGGGAGGGGAACCAGCACAUCUCCACCCGUGUAAUGGGAACAUUCGGUUAUGUUGCACCGGAGUACGCCAUGACAGGCCAUCUUCUUGUCAAGAGUGAUGUAUACAGCUAUGGAGUCGUAUUACUUGAACUUCUCACAGGUAGGAAGCCUGUGGACAUGUCUCAGCCUGCAGGCCAAGAAAGCCUAGUCGCAUGGGCUCGCCCAUAUCUGACAAAUGUGGUGGGCUUGCGUCAAGCUGUUGAUCCACUUCUUGGCCCUAAUGUGCCACUGGACAACGUGGCGAAAGCAGCUGCCAUCGCAUCCAUGUGUGUACAGCCUGAGGUUGCACACCGACCGAGCAUGAGCGAAGUUGUGCAGGCCUUGAAGCUUGUCUGCAGCGAGGGUGAUGAAGGUUUUGGUUCGGGAAGUUUCAGCCAGGAAUUGGCGGCUCGUACGACAGCGGCUCAUGAUGUAACUGGCAUGGAAGCGGAGAGGGUGCUAUUAUCUGAGAUGUUUGGCUCAACACCUGUCUUCACUCCAGCUGCUGAUUCAGGUUCUUUCCGCAUGCAGUCCAUCUCCGGCCCUCUGAUGACAGGCAAGAACAAGAAGUUCUGGCAAAGGAUGCGAAACUUGUCGAGAGGUAGUAUGAGCGAGCAUGGUGCCUCGCCAGAUUUUGAGACACACUCACAGUGUAGCAAUAGGUGA
rnacentral:rRNA from 1 species